AUUGAACGCUGGCGGCAUGCCUUACACAUGCAAGUCGAACGGUAACGGGCCUUCGGGUGCCGACGAGUGGCGAACGGGUGAGUAACAUAUCGGAACGUACCUUUCAGUGGGGGAUAACGUAGCGAAAGUUACGCUAAUACCGCAUAUUCUGUGCGCAGGAAAGCAGGGGACCUUCGGGCCUUGCGCUGAUUGAGCGGCCGAUAUCAGAUUAGCUAGUUGGUGAGGUAAAGGCUCACCAAGGCGACGAGCUGUAGCGGGUCUGAGAGGAUGAUCCGCCACACUGGAACUGAGACACGGUCCAGACUCCUACGGGAGGCAGCAGUGGGGAAUUUUGGACAAUGGGGGCAACCCUGAUCCAGCCAUGCCGCGUGAGUGAAGAAGGCCUUCGGGUUGUAAAGCUCUUUCGGCCGGGAAGAAAUCGUAUGGGCUAAUACCCUGUGCGGAUGACGGUACCGGCAUAAGAAGCACCGGCUAACUACGUGCCAGCAGCCGCCGUAAUAC
rnacentral:rRNA from 1 species